AAUUUCCACCUAAGCUCACCGGCCGCAGCAGAAUUCAGUCAACACACAGAUCUCGUAGAGGUAACAAGUAAAAAAUUCCAAAAUAAAUAAGCAUUCAAAUAUUUUCGGCCCAUUUUCGGUUAACUUUUUAUUUCUGUUCAAUUCAGUAUUUUGUUUUUGAGUUUUUAUUGUUUUGUUUUUGAGUUUUUAUUAGGCUUAAGCAUAAAGUGUCAAGUAUUGUGGAGCGCUAUAGAAUCAAAACCAUUUUCUAAAACGCUAUAAAAUCAAAACCAUUUUCUAAACACACAAAAUUAGAUUUAAGAAUACCAUUUAAAAAAAACACUUGAAAAAUACGAAAUCGCUGUAUGCUGCUGCAAAUUAUUUAAAUGGCAAAAGCUUACAAGUUGAAAAGGAACUUACACUCGAGUCACUCAAAAGGAAAAAGAAAAUAGGGUUGGUGUAACUAGCAAUUAACUAAAUAAAAACACGCCAAAAACUAUGAUGCACACAAGAAGACGAUGGACCUAAAUUCGCAGUUAAAAUGCAGACAAAAAUUCCCGGAAAAGCAAUGCUACUUAUCAAGUGCAAUGCCAUUGAUCAUCAAGGAAUAUGGAAGCCUGACUCCAGCCGGAAACGGUUGUAAAUCGAAGAGCUGCUCCACCAAGCCAUUCCAUAUUCCAUUCGACCAUGUCUGCAAUUCCUAUUCGGCACUAUUUGUUAAACAAAAAUACACUU
rnacentral:misc_RNA from 1 species